rnacentral:rRNA from 1 species
UACGAAGGGGGCUAGCGUUGCUCGGAAUCACUGGGCGUAAAGCGCACGUAGGCGGCUUCUUAAGUCAGGGGUGAAAUCCUGGAGCUCAACUCCAGAACUGCCUUUGAUACUGAGGAGCUUGAGUCCGGGAGAGGUGAGUGGAACUGCGGGUGUAGAGGUGAAAUUCGUAGAUAUUCGCAAGAACACCAGUGGCGAAGGCGGCUCACUGGCCCGAUACUGACGCUGAGGCACGAAAGCGUGGGGAGCAAACAGG